CAAAAAUACCUCGUAGUAGGAGCAGAACAGUUUAGCCCAUCUGUGAUGCAGUACAGGAAAACAGAACAGAAAAUAGCAGCAAAAAACUAGGAGCAGCAGGCACUUGUUCUUGAUACAAAAGUUGAAACUAAUAGCAGAGAGAAAUACACAUUUACAACGAAAACCGUCUACCAUCCAUUUGUUGAAAAUGAUCUAAAAUGACAUCAUUAUCAAUUGUUGCAAGAACAUCUCUUUCUAUAAGAGUUACAAGACGAUUAUUUAACCAUUCAUCACUCAUUUUGUUACAUAGC
rnacentral:lncRNA from 1 species